AAGUUUCCUCUGGUACUACUUGUAGGGACCUAGAAAUUGAAUUUUCCUUCAUAAUCUAAAAUUAAAACAUGUGGCCAUAUGUUGUCUGUAACUGGGGCAGAUCUACAUGAUUUCUAGUUGAAAUUUUCUCUAGAUUGCUGGCAAAUUUGCUUGUAACCUGCCUUUUCAUGAAUUUAUGGGCCCAAUGUUUCAGAUGCUGUAAAUAAUAAAUGUAACCUUCACUUUCAGUUAUCAUGGCAUUUUCAUU
rnacentral:misc_RNA from 1 species